UACGUAGGUGGCAAGCGUUGUUCGGAAUUACUGGGCGUAAAGAGUACGUAGGCGGUUUGAUAAGUCUGAUAUUAAAUACAGAAGCUUAACUUCUGAACUGUAUCGGAAACUGUCAGACUAGAGGACAAUAGAGGAAGUCGGAAUUCUCAGUGUAGCGGUGAAAUGCGUAGAUAUUGGGAAGAACACCAGUGGCGAAAGCGGACUUCUGGGUUGUUACUGACGCUGAGGUACGAAAGCGUGGGGAGCAAACGGG
rnacentral:rRNA from 1 species